UAGGCUACAUUAUAUUUUAAAAAAAUAAAACCACCGCCAAACAGAUCGAUAAGCUUCUCUUCUCUUCACAUCUCGUCGUCGUACUUCACAUCUAGCUCUUCCAACGCAUACCUAUCCUCACCGCGCGACUCCACCACCACCAUAACCACCACCACCACCUUCCUCACCGCGCGGCUCCACCACCACCAUCUGAAGGAGAGUUUCCCCACCGUCGUCUUUCCUACCUUCGCGCGACUCCAUCUGUUUCACACAAUCGAUUUGUGAAGCUAGACUACUAAAGAGACUUAAGUACCCAGGAGCGACUGAAUUUGGGGUGGAUUUGUCUCAGGCCAACAUCUCAAUUCAACUUGAUGUUGGGAAGGGAGGAAAUAGUGGCUCAAAUGCUAUAGCACCCGUUGUAGAGAAAUGAGUCGUCGUUGGAUGUACGGUGACCAUACUACGGUGGAAUACUUGAGUGGGGUUGAGGAGUUCCUUAGAUGUGCUUUAGCACACCAACGGAAUACGAAAGCCGCAAAGAUUUAUUGUCCUUGCCGUGAUUGUAACAAUGUAAGGCGGUUAGGUGAUAUUGAUGAAAUUGAGGAUCAUUUAUUUCGUCGUGGGUUUAAGCAAGAUUACCAUGUCUGGUUUUGGCAUGGUGAGAAAAUACUUGAUCGUCCAAGUUCUAGUGUGAAUGAAUUUGAUGUUCUGGCAGAGAGUGAUGAGAGUGAUGAGAGUGAUUCUGAUAUUUCUGAGAAUAAUGAGAUGGAUGAUGAUGAGCAAGAAGAUAAUGAAAUAAAUGAAAUGAUGGAUGCGGUGAAAGAUCACUUGAAUG